rnacentral:rRNA from 1 species
CGGGGUAGAGUAAUGCGUGACCAACCUGCCCCAUGCUCCAGAAUAGCUCUUGGAAACGGGUGGUAAUGCUGGAUGCUCCAACUUGACGCAUGUCUUGUUGGGAAAGUGUUUAGUGGCAUGGGAUGGGGUCGCGUCCUAUCAGCUUGUAGGCGGGGUAAUGGCCCACCUAGGCUUCGACGGGUAGCCGGCCUGAGAGGGCGGACGGCCACAUUGGGACUGAGAUACGGCCCAGACUCCUACGGGAGGCAGCAGAU